rnacentral:lncRNA from 1 species
ACAACAACAAAUAAAAUUACAACGAAUUAAGAUGAAAAGUCGAGAAUAACAUUCUAUGACAACUUUGUUGAAAUGAUUUACCGCUGCCUCAGCUACCAAUACUCAGACGUCACCAAUAUUCAUAUAAGCUGAAAUCAAAGGUUGCCACAAUGAUUAUGUAACACAAUACCGAUGCUAACUGAACCAUCAAGAUCACUGCCCCAUCAAAAAAUUGAUGAGGAAACCACGUAAUAAUUUAGAUAUGAUGCACAAAAGUAUUUGAAAAUGUACUUCUUGAUCUAGCAUGGGAAACACGAGAGAUGCACGAUAAAUGGGAUGUAUAUGGCUAGGAAGAGGCACAAUAUUUCUAAAGAUGUAUUGAAUGAUUUCGAUCGAGCGAGACUUUGUGUCACACCCCAAAUCCGAUGUUAGUAGUUUCCAAGCACUUAAUACCGAAUCCGAAGCGUGAGAGGGAAAAGUAUAAGAAAAUAAAACAAACUCAAAUAUAUUUUCAGAAAAUUUUUGAAAACAAAACGUUUACGAAAACAAAACCAAUUACAAAGAUAAAACAGGUCUUGCGAAUCUAGCUCACUCAAAACUUUCGUCACUCAAAACUUUCGUAACUCUUCUAUACACGUGUACAGGUCUUCUCGUACACGUCAGCUAAACAUCAUAGUUAGACUUCUCGAAAGACGUGUCGUACCUCGUACACCUGAACAAGAAUCUAUAGGGGUGAGCUUACGCUCAGUAGGGCCAAACUUCUUUAGAUUAUUCUUAACUAUGUCGCACAAUCAAGUUAUCAACCAAUGUCAUAUAUAACAACAAAUCGAUCAAUGCAUGUAUGCUAAUGCACUCCUUUCACUCAAUUACUGUCCAAUCAGUCCACACAUCAAAGACAAGUGAUCAUACACGUCUCAUACCGUGUAUUUUACCAACCGGGGGUGACCCAAGAUGUCUUCAAUAUAUGAUCUAACAGUUAGUAAUUUCCUUAACGCCAAUACCUCUUUUGUUAGUCGUCUUGUCAUACUCAUGGUCUCCAAACCUGAAACCCGAUAAUAUCGUUUUAUCGAUGUCCGCCAUCGAAGGGACAUGUUUUCCCCAAAUUUGUGAACGUGUGGGCUACCCUAGAUCUUUGACAACCCAUGAGGAAACUCAACUACAUAAAAUGUAUCUUUCCUCUCCAUCUCAUUCUCACCUAUCUACAAUCACCAAUCUCACUAAUCUCACAAUUCCUCACAAUGCAUUAUGCAUAUAUAUCAAUUGAGCAUCAAUACUCGCAUUUUAAUAUCGAACACAUGCUUUAAAUGAAAAAUGAAAACGUCAAUCACAUAAAUCAACGAUAUUACAUACUUUAUCGAAAUCGAUAACAAUCAAGAAUUAAUCAAUCAAUCAAUCAAUCAAUCAAUGUUACACAAAUCACCAUGCCAAUUAUAAUCUAAUAGGUAAAAUACUGUAUAGUCAUUGUGAUUUCAAGUCGACAUCUGUUUAGUCAUUCUGGUUUUAUUUUAAUCUAAAUAGCCAUUAAAGUCACAAUUUUUCAUCCAAAUGCCUCAUGUUAGUUUUCUCAAUUAAACUGUUGACAUGACCGUUAAAAAUUACAAUAAUGUCUUUAACGGCCACGUCAACAAUUUAACUGAGAAAAUUUAUGGAAUUAAGGACCAUUUGAAUGAAAAAUUAGAACUUUAAGGACUAUUCAAAUUAAAAUAAAAACACAAGGACUAAACAAAUGUCGACUUGAAACCACAAAGACUAAACAAAUUUAAAUCUAAUUAUAGAUUUAAAGAAAGGUUCCCUAAGAGUCCCUACUUGAAAUCCGAGUCCCAAAUCUGACGCUAACUAAAAUUAGUAACUCAGCGACCUGCUUUUCUAAAAUCUUUAUUCUUCUGCUUUUGUAAUUCUGCGACUCGCAUUCGAUGCUCUUACCAAAUCCUUAUUCUUAGAGAGUCAAUGGAUCAUUUUUUUCGACAAUUACCGAAUCACAUGCCUCUGUAUUAAGUCGUAUCCCAACUAUCCUCCAAGCACCAAUCUAAGCUCUUACUCUAUUCUCGAUACCCAAUUUCUCUUAAUUCUCCCACCUCCAUUUAUUACAUUUUCACUAAUCAUCUUCGUUGACAACUCCAAUUCCAUUUCCUUUAUACCUUAACCAUUUCUGUAACCACAAACUCCAUAUGUUAAGCAAUUCAACCCAAAAUACAUCUCGUCAACAUAUAUACCAAACAUCUAAACUUUACAAUUCAUCAUAGCUUCUCUGUUCUUAAAGAACCCGACCCAACCUUUAUUCACCCAACUCCUCCAUCUCUAAAAUUCAAGCAACACACCAACACAAUUGGAUUCUACUACUACUACCAAGCUUACCAAAACCUAGAGACAAUUAACCACCAGCUAUCACCAUCACUGCUGCCGUUGUGAAUAGUAACUUCACGGUGGUCAUCCACUGCUGGAAACCCAUAACAACUGCUGCUGUUUGUUCUUAGAUUCCUGUAAUCGAACAUAUAUAUAGCAUCAAAAUCAUGCUAAGAGAUCCAUAACAACUAGAAUUUAAUUACUAAAACAAGGAUUAAAAACGUAACCACCUCCGUUGUGCACGACCACACACACAACGGUCCUCUAUUGCCCAAAACCUAACUUCUCCAAAUCCUAACCAAUUUUGAAUUCAAUUAUACAAAGAGGUAGAGCUCCAUAAAUUGACCAACUUUGACACUUGGGUCGAAUACCAAAUCUCACCGGAAAGCAUGGAAACUCGCCAAAAAACACAUAGACCUUCGCUAAUCGAUUCUCCCUCCUCAAAGCUUCUCUUUGAAAACCAGUACCACAAGGACGUUCGCCAAGUCGAGGCGAAGCUACCACCACCGAACUUUCUCACCACCUUGGCUAGAAUCUAGAACUUGCCGGCGAACCCAACGUCUCUCUCUUCUUCGAUUCUCCUUCACCGAAGCUCAUUUGCCGAAACCAAGACCAUGCCACAUGGAGGAUGUGGAGGCCAAGACGAAGUCGACGCUGCCAUUCUUUCUCCAUGUCGUCACCGAAGAACGAAGUGGCAGCCGGAUCGACCCAUCGCCUCCGUUCGGGUCGAGAAUGACCCGGUCUGGGUGUUGAUCUGAUCUGAUCCCUUACAUAAAUAAUCGAUUCAACGAUUGAGAUCUUGCGGUUUA